GACGAACGCUGGCGGCGUGCUUAACACAUGCAAGUCGAACGAGAAUCUGUGGAAAGAGGAUUCGUCCAAUUGAAGCAGAGGACAGUGGCGGACGGGUGAGUAACGCGUGAGGAACCUGCCUUUCAGAGGGGGACAACAGUUGGAAACGACUGCUAAUACCGCAUAACACAUAGGUGUCGCAUGGCACUUAUGUCAAAGAUUUAUCGCUGAAAGAUGGCCUCGCGUCUGAUUAGCUAGUUGGUGAGGUAACGGCCCACCAAGGCGACGAUCAGUAGCCGGACUGAGAGGUUGAACGGCCACAUUGGGACUGAGAUACGGCCCAGACUCCUACGGGAGGCAGCAGUGGGGAAUAUUGGGCAAUGGGCGCAAGCCUGACCCAGCAACGCCGCGUGAAGGAAGAAGGCUUUCGGGUUGUAAACUUCUUUUGUCAGGGACGAGUAGA
rnacentral:rRNA from 1 species